UUACCUGUUCUUUUUGUGGUAAAUUGGGUCACAGUGAAACUGUUUGUGCAUGGACCCUGCGUAAAGAUGACACGCACAAAUCGAGAAAUGGUCCAAAUUUUU
rnacentral:snRNA from 1 species